rnacentral:rRNA from 1 species
CGGACGGGUGAGUAAUACUUAGGAAUCUGCCCAUUAGUGGGGGACAACUAGAAGAAAUUCUAGCUAAUACCGCAUACGCCCUACGGGGGAAAGCGGGGGAUCUUCGGACCUCGCGCUAAUGGAUGAGCCUAAGUCGGAUUAGCUUGUUGGUGAGGUAAUGGCUCACCAAGGCGACGAUCCGUAGCUGGUCUGAGAGGACGAUCAGCCACACUGGGACUGAGACACGGCCCAG